rnacentral:rRNA from 1 species
GAACGGUAAGGCUCCAGCUUGCUGGGGUACACGAGUGGCGAACGGGUGAGUAACACGUGGGUGACCUGCCCUGCACUUCGGGAUAAGCCUGGGAAACUGGGUCUAAUACCGGAUAGGACCGCACCGUGAGGGUGUGGUGGAAAGUUUUUUCGGUGUGGGAUGGGCCCGCGGCCUAUCAGCUUGUUGGUGGGGUAAUGGCCUACCAAGGCGGCGACGGGUAGCCGGCCUGAGAGGGUGGACGGCCACAUUGGGACUGAGACACGGCCCAGACUCCUACGGGAGGCAGCAGUGGGGAAUAUUGCACAAUGGGCGGAAGCCUGAUGCAGCGACGCCGCGUGGGGGAUGACGGCCUUCGGGUUGUAAACUCCUUUCACCAUCGACGAAGGGUUUCUGACGGUAGAUGGAGAAGAAGCACCGGCUAACUACGUGCCAGCAGCCGCGGUAAUACGUAGGGUGCGAGCGUUGUCCGGAAUUACUGGGCGUAAAGAGCUCGUAGGUGGUUUGUCGCGUCGUCUGUGAAAUUCCGGGGCUUAACUCCGGGCGUGCAGGCGAUACGGGCAUAACUUGAGUACUGUAGGGGAGACUGGAAUUCCUGGUGUAGCGGUGAAAUGCGCAGAUAUCAGGAGGAACACCGGUGGCGAAGGCGGGUCUCUGGGCAGUAACUGACGCUGAGGAGCGAAAGCAUGGGGAGCGAACAGGAUUAGAUACCCUGGUAGUCCAUGCCGUAAACGGUGGGCGCUAGGUGUGGGUUUCCUUCCACGGGAUCCGUGCCGUAGCUAACGCAUUAAGCGCCCCGCCUGGGGAGUACGGCCGCAAGGCUAAAACUCAAAGGAAUUGACGGGGGCCCGCACAAGCGGCGGAGCAUGUGGAUUAAUUCGAUGCAACGCGAAGAACCUUACCUGGGCUUGACAUAUACAGGAUCGCGCCAGAGAUGGUGUUUCCCUUGUGGCUUGUAUACAGGUGGUGCAUGGUUGUCGUCAGCUCGUGUCGUGAGAUGUUGGGUUAAGUCCCGCAACGAGCGCAACCCUUGUCUUAUGUUGCCAGCACGUUGUGGUGGGGACUCGUAAGAAACUGCCGGGGUUAACUCGGAGGAAGGUGGGGAUGACGUCAAAUCAUCAUGCCCCUUAUGUCCAGGGCUUCACACAUGCUACAAUGGUCGGUACAGUGGGUUGCCAGUCCGUGAGGGCGAGCUAAUCCCGCAAAGCCGGUCUCAGUUCGGAUCGGGGUCUGCAACUCGACCCCGUGAAGUCGGAGUCGCUAGUAAUCGCAGAUCAGCAAC